rnacentral:ncRNA from 1 species
GAGAGCCGUAUGCGCUGAGAGGUGCACGGACGGUUCGGAGAGGAGAAGCAGGGAGAUAGUUCGACUACGCCCUGCUUCCUCUAC